AUGUUAGCGGCGGACGGGUGAGUAACACGUGGAUAACCUACCUAUAAGACUGGGAUAACUUCGGGAAACCGGAGCUAAUACCGGAUAAUAUUUUGAACCGCAUGGUUCAAAAGUGAAAGACGGUCUUGCUGUCACUUAUAGAUGGAUCCGCGCUGCAUUAGCUAGUUGGUAAGGUAACGGCUUACCAAGGCAACGAUGCAUAGCCGACCUGAGAGGGUGAUCGGCCACACUGGAACUGAGACACGGUCCAGACUCCUACGGGAGGCAGCAGUAGGGAAUCUUCCGCAAUGGGCGAAAGCCUGACGGAGCAACGCCGCGUGAGUGAUGAAGGUCUUCGGAUCGUAAAACUCUGUUAUUAGGGAAGAACAUAUGUGUAAGUAACUGUGCACAUCUUGACGGUACCUAAUCAGAAAGCCACGGCUAACUACGUGCCAGCAGCCGCGGUAAUACGUAGGUGGCAAGCGUUAUCCGGAAUUAUUGGGCGUAAAGCGCGCGUAGGCGGUUUUUUAAGUCUGAUGUGAAAGCCCACGGCUCAACCGUGGAGGGUCAUUGGAAACUGGAAAACUUGAGUGCAGAAGAGGAAAGUGGAAUUCCAUGUGUAGCGGUGAAAUGCGCAGA
rnacentral:rRNA from 1 species